ensembl:snRNA U6 U6 spliceosomal RNA
GUGCUCACUUCGGCAGCAUGUACACUAAAAUUGGAACGAUGCGGAGAAGAUUAGCACGGCCUCUGCGCAGGGAUGACGUGCAAAUUCAUGAAGCGUUCCGCUCAGAA